rnacentral:rRNA from 1 species
AACGAACGCUGGCGGCAGGCUUAACACAUGCAAGUCGAACGCCCCGCAAGGGGAGUGGCGCACGGGUGAGUAACGCGUGGAUAUCUGCCUUUUGGUUCGGAAUAACCCCGGGAAACUGGGGCUAAUACCGGAUGGUUCCUACGGGAUAAAGAUUUAUCGCCAAAAGAUGAGUCCGCGUACGAUUAGCUAGUUGGUGAGGUAAUGGCUCACCAAGGCGACGAUCGUUAGCUGGUCUGAGAGGACGAUCAGCCACACUGGGACUGAGACACGGCCCAGACUCCUACGGGAGGCAGCAGUGGGGAAUAUUGGACAAUGGGGGCAACCCUGAUCCAGCCAUGCCGCGUGAGUGAUGAAGGCCUUCGGGUUGUAAAGCUCUUUUGGCGGGGACGAUGAUGACGGUACCCGCAGAAUAAGCCCCGGCUAACUUCGUGCCAGCCGCCGCCGUAA